rnacentral:lncRNA from 1 species
AAGAUAGACUUUCAGUAAACAUGGCCGCUCGAAGGGGACCGCACCGCCACCACCUGCGACAGAGACGGUCGUUUCGUGAGAGGAAGGACGUCCUGAAUGAGCUAGAUGACCGUGAGCUGGUGAAGAGGUAUUGGCAGGAUCCUGCUGGUAUCAUUUUCGUGACAAAUUUGGUGCGGGAAAGGCUGAAGAGACCAACUGCAAGGAACAAGGCCUCUCUCCCCGAGAUGCAAGUUAUCUUCACUGCGGUACCUCGCUAUAGGAAAGAUUGGUGCCAUUGAUGGGACGCACGUGAUGAUUGUGGCUCCUAGAGAGUAUAAGGUAGAGUUUGUCAACAGGAAGAGAUACCACAGCAUCAACGUGCAGUUUGUGUUUGAUGCUUGAUACCACAUUAUUGAUGUGGUAGCAAAGUGGCCGGGAUUGGUUCACGAUGCAAGAAUACUUGCUCAAAGUGGACUCUGCACGAUAUUUGACAGCGGCAUCGUCCCAGCUGGGUGUCACUUACUGGGAGAUAGUGGCUAUCCCAGCAAGAAGUGGCUACUGACUCCAUACCUCAGACCACAGCCUGGAGCACAGUCUUCUUAUAACAGGGCCCACAAGAAAAUCUGCAGCAUUGUUGAGAGAGGCAUCGGGCAGCUGAAGCCACAUUUUCACAUGCUACACAGUGAAAUCCAAGUUGGUCCUCCACCCAAGGUCUGCCAAAUUGUAGAGGUUUGUGCAUUGCUGCACAACAUCUGCAAAGCAAGAAACAUCAUUCUUCCUGAGGAAGAAGAACAUCUUGCUGCAGCCGAGGAUGGAGGCAAUGAGGAGCGACCCCCAGCACAGAAAGUUCAAAGUCGCCAUGAAGGAAUCCUUUACAGGGAUGAAUUUGUUGUGCUUCACUUAAACAUUGAUGAGUGAUGAGACACCAGUGUCAUGACUGCUGAGAUUGGUGUUAAUCUCAUGUGGAUGAUCUCCUCCUCAUCCACAUAGACCAGUGAUGUACCAGGCAAGUCUGGCCCCUGUUGGUGCCACAUCACUGGUGCUGGAAGUGGUGUGGCAGGUGCCUCCUCCUCAACACCUACUGCCUCGGUCACUACUUCUCUCUGUUGGGCUGCCUCUGCCACUUCCCCAGCAUCAUCUGCUGCCUGAACACUGCUGGCAUCAUUAGUUCUAACUUCAGAAACUAACCUGAUAAUGUUUUUGGUUUUAUUGCUAAGGACAAAAGUAACAGAAACCAGUAAAUCUAGCUAAGGGUACAAUGUGUUUGACUUAAAUCCUAUUCUGUUUGAAGGAAGCCCAUGUCUAAGAAACUGUAAAUACCUAAGACUCAUUAUCAUUAACACAUUCACCCACUACAACACCAUACUUAUGAAUGGGGAGAAGGGAUAGGAAUUAAGUUAACUUUAUUAGUUU